AGUGAAUAUAGUUUAUUAAAAAUUUUA
rnacentral:tRNA from 1 species